rnacentral:rRNA from 1 species
GACGAAGGGGGCUAGCGUUGUUCGGAAUUAUUGGGCGUAAAGCGCGCGUAGGCGGUUACUCAAGUCGGAUGUGAAAGCCCUCGGCUUAACUGAGGAAGUGCACCCGAAACUGAGUAGCUAGAGUACUAAAGAGGGUCGCGGAAUUCCCGGUGUAGAGGUGAAAUUCGUAGAUAUCGGGAGGAACACCGGUGGCGAAGGCGGCGACCUGGGUAGAUACUGACGCUGAGGCGCGAAAGCGUGGGGAGCAAACAGG